UACGUAGGGGGCAAGCGUUGUCCGGAUUUAUUGGGCGUAAAGAGCGUGUAGGCGGCCAUACAGGUCCGUUGUGAAAACUGGAGGCUUAACCUCCAGACGUCGAUGGAAACCGUAUGGCUAGAGUCCGGAAGAGGAGAGUGGAAUUCCUGGUGUAGCGGUGAAAUGCGCAGAUAUCAGGAAGAACACCCGUGGCGAAGGCGGCUUUCUGGGACGGUACUGACGCUGAGACGCGAAAGCGUGGGGAGCGAACAGG
rnacentral:rRNA from 1 species